AUACGUUUGGCUUUCCCUCUCCUUUGCCUCUGCACUGUGCCCAUCACAGGCAGUUGCUCUGCUCUGUGACAGCUCCCUAGCUAACACAAUUAAGCAGGGCAUUGUAAAUUAAGUAUAGCCUGGCAUCAGCACUGGUAUAUGUAACAGACUACAAAUUUCACUGCCUACAUCAGGAAAUGUUGCCGGCCUAAAUCCUACAAGGUCUGUUAGUUUUUGCAGAGGGUCCCCACAGACCACACUGUAGGAGUAAGAUGACGCCGUGAGCUGCUUCCCACUGGACUGCAGCUGGAGCAUCCCCUAAGAAGAGGUCGACCAGGAGCAAGGUUCUUUAUGGUAGCCACAAACAAUGAAGGUCCCUAGGGAAUAACUCUGGUGUUCAUUUUGCAAGACACACUCCACUGAGGUCCACUGUCCAGUGUGCAAGAGCUGGGGGGCUCUCUGCCUAUGGCAAAACACCACAGCUUCAGAAACUGAACUACAGCUGAGCUCUGCACCACAGCGUUUUCAGGCCCUCCUGCCCAGCAGCUCUCCAGCCUUUCCCACUUCGGAUGGGAAGUAUCAAAUGGAGCAUGCAGAAUAAUGAAGAUGGUCUUUGCUGUGCAUCUGAUCUCCAGAUGGGACCUUUCAGUCUGUUUCCUGGAAAUCCCUUCAGGAAAUGAGGGCUGAAAGGAGUGGGGAAGCACCCAUACCAGGGCUAAAAGUGAGGCAUGGAGAAGACAAACUUGUCUGAGACAUGGAGUAGUUUCAUAGAAACACAGAAUCAUAGAACCAUAGAAACAUUAAGGUCGGAAAAGACCCCUAGGAUCACGUAGUCCAACCAUCAACUCACCACCAUCAUGCCCCCUAACCAUGUCCCUUAGUGCCAUAUCCACAUGGUUCUUGAACACCGUCUCCCUGGGCAACCUGUUCCAAUGCCCCACCACUCUUUCUGAGAAGAAAUUUUUCCUCAUAUCCAACCUGAACCUCCCCUGGAGCAACUUCAGGCCAUUAUCUCUCAUCCUGUUGCUAGUUACUGUGGUACUGUGUACUUCUGACACCAUUCAACCUACAACUACUUCAUACUCCUCUUCAGCUGCCUCUAGAUUUCCAGUGACCUCCAAGAGCUGAAGGGGAAUGUCUGGAUCUUCCACUUUAACACCAUGUCCAACAUCCUCCUGUCCUCUGUAGUACUUCAAGAGAUGGUAGUAUGCUCAAAUGAUGGUGACCGACUGCAGCAUUUAGUGGCUCAAGUACUGCAUCAAAGAAGAUUUUGGUUUGAAUUCUUCAGCCACUGAGAAUUUGUGUGCAUACUGCAAUGAAGUAAGUUUUUUUCCAGAGUCAUUACCCUUGUAAAAGCGUGCCAUUUGGCAACCUUGAUGCACAGAGAGGUUUUACAGCUAGUGUUCAGUUUCAGCGUACCAUCUCUUGUGUGAAGACAUUGAAUGACCUCCAUGUGAUGACUCAGGGCCAAACUGAUAGCAAGGGUUUGAAUACUGAAUAAUGUGAAAAACAGUAGACGAUGGCUUGGAUCAAAGAAGACUUCCCACUCCUGUUUUUGGAGGGCUGCUAGAUGAAGUAGCGGAGCAGAUGUUCACAAAGGUUUAGCCCAGAUCCCCAGACCUUAAGAAGUUCUCUCAAGAAAUGUGCAUCAUUUCAGUUUCUUCUGGGGAGAAUUACAGAAAAAGAGGACCAUACAAAUUCCUUUUAUUUGUCCAGUAACCCAGAUGCAGCUGUUUCUUGAGAACAUUACAAUGUUGGAGAGGGGGAAGUUACCCCUGCUGUUUACAUUCAUCUCUAUUCAAGGGGUAGCAAAACCAAGAAUUUUAACAAACAGUCAGCAACUUGGGAGGUUCUGGAGCCUGCCACCACCAAGCAAAAAGUGGAGAUCUUCUUGCACAUUUAAUGACUUGAUUACUAAACUCAGACUGUUUACCGUAAAAAAGCAUCAGUGUAGUCUGGUAGGUAAUUAAUCUACUGAUAAGCCUAUCUACCUGCAGCUCACCUCCUUUCUCUACUUACUCUCUUAUUUCUGGCUCUACUCCAUUAACUGUGCACACAUUUAAAGCAUUUAUGCUUUUUACUCUCCAUAGCUGGUUUCAGUCAGUAGCAGGUCAUAGUCCUUGCUUCCUACUUUCUCAGAGUAGGCUUGUGAAUAUGAAUGUCUUGCUGGCUUGGUUUGAAUCUGUGUUCUCUUCCCUGGUAUGGAACAGUUCUGCCUCUGAGCUGAGAGGAUAAAGUGCUUGUUACUACAGCCCUGCCUUACAUAAGUAUUUGGUUUUAAGUCUAAUUAUUUUACAAUUCUUCUUAGCUGGCAAUGAACUGCUGUGAUAACAGGGCCUGUGGAACUACCAAUAAGAUCAUCUAAACAUGCCUCUUCAAGCAGAUUUUAAUCUCCUUUUAUCCUGAUGGUAAACUCCCUGAUAUUUGGGGUUUCCUUUUACUUGGACCAAAUGUUUGCCACACCAAAAUAUUCUGGAGGCAUCUGACCCUGAGCAGGGCAGGAGGCCAUACCUGAAUGAGAUCACACAAAAUCUCCCACAUCACCUGCAUCAGGGUGAUCAUGUUCACCUGGUUCUGAGCAUCCCCAUGCACCUCUGUUCACUCUCCUUACACCUCUCCAUCUUCUGGAAGGAAAACAGCCAAAGGCCUGAAAUUGGCCCAACAAGGAAGGAGUCUGUGUGCAGUUGUAACAUUUUCCAUUACAAAGAAGAGAGGGAGCACAGAAGUCAUUCCUGACAAAGUGCAGAAGUUCAUGAAUGCCAGAUUAACAGAUAUAAACCUGUAAUGCAUCAGGUUAUCAGAUUUGUCUCUAGAUACUCAUCCCCUUGCCCUGGUAUCAGCUUCUGUAAAUUACCUGGCAACUUCUGAAGGCAUUAGUGCCUUUCUCUGUUGCGUCUGUAAUAAUAUUAAAUCUGAAAUGACUUUCUUAUACUUUUAAAAAUAUCCUAGUUCCUGUUUCAAAUCUGGCUGAAGUUAAUAGGAAUGGGCUUAAGUGAUUUCAGUCAAGGUUUAGGAACUUCAAAAAGAGCACUGGAACAGGCUGCCCAGGGGGGCUGUGGAGUCUCCCUCUCUGGAGAUAUUCAAAACCCGCCUGGACUCUUUUCUGUGUGACCUACGUAGGGAACCUACUUUGCAGGGGGUUGGACUGGAUGAUCUCCAGAUUUCCCUUUCAACCCCUACAAUUCUGCGAUUCUGUGAAAAACUUAGAAAUUAUUUGGAACUACAUACAUUUAUUAAAUUAUUAUGUGGAUGGCAGCUAUAGCAGGUGAGGGCCCCCCUCAACAAAUGGCCAGUGUGAAACAGCAGCUCCUGACCUCUCUGCUACCCCAUGAGGAAGCCAUCCUCAGAAACAACCACUGUGGUGUGGUUACAUCUUGGUCACAACAGCCACCUCAGCUCCUCCAUUACGAGAUGUCAGACCAGUUAUGAGGUCCACAGACCACAGGUGAGCAUUUCUAUUGUGCCCACUGUAGAAAAGCUCUUUUCUCCACUCCAGCUGCUGUUCACCAUCAUGUACAUCUGCAGACUCUUCAGCAGUGCUUCAACAGAUGUCUCAAACAACAUCCUCACAUCCCCAGCCUCCUGCUCAGCUGAUGUGACUGAGAUGAACAUUUUUUAGGACCAAGUGUUCUGUGGGCUCAUGCCUCCCAAGAAAUUAUUGCUUUGCUAGAGGAUCCCAGCAGACAAUCGGCUUGCUCCUGGGAUGGACACAAAUGGACAAAUGGCACUGAUGGUGCCUCUGCCCUCAGGAAACUCACUGUCAGGAGUUUAAACCAGCACUACUUAAUAUAUUUUUAGCCAUGCCUCCUGUUGGGUAAUUUUACAAUUAUGAUUUCAUGAUUAGGAAGGGAGUGCAUAGCUUUCUGCUUUGCCAGGCUACUCUUUCUCAUCACACCUCCAGAAUAGGGAUCUACAGCUUCUGUCUGGGACACAAGGAGAAUAACAAGAAAGCAAACUACCUAGGAAAAAGUGAAAGGAGAUAGAAGAUAUCUAUACUCUGAGGAACAUUUAUUAGCAAAAAAUAAAAAAAAAAAAAAGAAGAAGAAGAAGUUACUAGAGCUAAAGAUCACAGGAUUUUAUGGGAGCUCUGACAAAACUCCAUGGAUUUUGGAGCCUUUACUAGAGCAGAAGUGCUUAAGAACUUUAGUAACUUUUAAUAACAGCUUUUAAAUAGUAGAGUAUUCAGGUUAGUCUCUGCUCAUUUCUACUUGCUGCCAAACUGAGAAGUAACCUUAUAGUGGGAGAUCUCUGCAGAUUUCUAAAGUAGAAGCUCCACACAGAAGCUUCUUAACAUUGCUCAUGUAAUGUUUUCCAGCCAGCCCUCAUCUCACAGCUCAUUGUUGGUGACAUCUUUACUUCAAAACAUCCUACACAUCUCUCUAGUUCUUGAAUUUAUGAUGUGCUGAAGUGUUUUUUGUACUGUUAUUUUUGGAAAUGUGGGGUUGGGGAAAAAUAAAUUGCACAUUAAAGCUACAGUCAGUCCUUUGAGAAUGACUGCUUGCCAUACACUCCUCAAAGAGGAGCUCUCCUAACAAAGACAUGCUUUGGAAUAGGGAAGGAGCUGUAGAUCCGACCAUGAAGCCUUGUGUUCAGUAGGAGAGAAUUGUUCCUGCCAGAACGUGAAACAAUUCCUAUCUCUGCCAAAACAAUUGCUUGAUGCGUGUUCCCUAAUAGCUCAUAAUGAA
ensembl:lncRNA